rnacentral:rRNA from 1 species
AGUGAACGCUGGCGGUAGGCCUAACACAUGCAAGUCGAACGGCAGCACAGUAAGAGCUUGCUCUUACGGGUGGCGAGUGGCGGACGGGUGAGGAAUACAUCGGAAUCUACUUUUUCGUGGGGGAUAACGUAGGGAAACUUACGCUAAUACCACAUACGACCUACGGGUGAAAGCAGGGAAUCUUCGGACCUUGCGCGAUUGAAUGAGCCGAUGUCGGAUUAGCUAGUUGGCGGGGUAAAGGCCCACCAAGGCGACGAUCCGUAGCUGGUCUGAGAGGAUGAUCAGCCACACUGGAACUGAGACACGGUCCAGACUCCUACGGGAGGCAGCAGUGGGGAAUAUUGGACAAUGGGCGCAAGCCUGAUCCAGCCAUACCACGUGGGUGAAGAAGGCCUUCGGGUUGUAAAGCCCUUUUGUUGGGAAAGAAAAGCAGCAGGUUAAUACCCCGCUGUUCUGACGGUACCCAAAGAAUAAGCACCGGCUAACUUCGUG